AGUAAACCACUAUCUUUUCAAGUAUUUAUACUUAAUCUAGACAUUUUAUCCACAGAUUAGGUACCUAUUAAAUAAAAGUACCUAUUCAAAGUACAAUAAAUUGCAUAGUAGUUAGAUUUUAUUUUUCUGAGUUACCUACACCAUGUGGUUUAGCAAAAAUGAUUUUCAAAACUCGGGUUUAAACUUGCGAUCUUUAGAAUGAUAACAGGUAUCUUC